GAUGAACGCUAGCUACAGGCUUAACACAUGCAAGUCGAGGGGAAACGCCAUCGAAAGCUUGCUUUUGAUGGGCGUCGACCGGCGCACGGGUGAGUAACGCGUAUCCAACCUGCCCAUCACUUGGGAAUAACCUUGCGAAAGUAAGACUAAUACCCAAUGAUAUCCCACGAAGGCAUCGGAAUGGGAUUAAAGAUUUAUCGGUGAUGGAUGGGGAUGCGUCUGAUUAGCUUGUUGGCGGGGUAACGGCCCACCAAGGCAACGAUCAGUAGGGGUUCUGAGAGGAAGGUCCCCCACAUUGGAACUGAGACACGGUCCAAACUCCUACGGGAGGCAGCAGUGAGGAAUAGUGAUCAAUGGGCGAGAGCCUGAACCAGCCAAGUAGCGUGCAGGAAGACGGCCCUAUGGGUUGUAAACUGCUUUUAUAAGGGAAUAAAGUGGGUCACGUGUGACUUUUUGCAUGUACCUUAUGAAUAAGGACCGGCUAAUUCCGUG
rnacentral:rRNA from 1 species